rnacentral:rRNA from 1 species
AGAUUGAACGCUGGCGGCAUGCCUUACACAUGCAAGUUGAACGGCAGCACGGGAGCAAUCCUGGUGGCGAGUGGCGAACGGGUGAGUAAUACAUCGGAACGUGCCCAGUAGUGGGGGAUAACCCGGCGAAAGCCGGACUAAUACCGCAUACGACCUACGGGUGAAAGCAGGGGAUCGCAAGACCUUGCGCUAUUGGAGCGGCCGAUGUCAGAUUAGCUUGUUGGUGGGUAAAAGCCCACCAAGGCGACGAUCUGUAGCUGGUCUGAGAGGACGACCAGCCACACUGGGACUGAGACACGGCCCAGACUCCUACGGGGGGCAGCAGUGAGGAAUUUUCGGCAAUGGGGGAAACCCUGACCGAGCAACGCCGCGUGCAGGAAGACGGCCUUCGGUGUAACUGCUUUCUUUGGACGAGCAAGGAUGGUACCAGAGAAUCAGCCCGGCUCACUACGUGCCAGCAGCCGC